rnacentral:rRNA from 1 species
AUACGUAGGGGGCGAGCGUUGUCCGGAAUGAUUGGGCGUAAAGGGCGCGUAGGCGGCGCGGUAAGUCUGGAGUGAAAGUCCUGCUUUCAAGGUGGGAAUUGCUUUGGAUACUGCCGCGCUUGAGUGCAGGAGAGGUUAUCGGAAUUCCCGGUGUAGCGGUGAAAUGCGUAGAGAUCGGGAGGAACACCAGUGGCGAAGGCGGGUAACUGGACUGCAACUGACGCUGAGGCGCGAAAGCGUGGGGAGCAAACAGGAUUAGAUACCCUGGUAGUCCACACUGUAAACGAUGAAUGCUAGGUGUAGGGGGUAUCGACCCCUUCUGUGCCGCAGUCAACACAAUAAGCAUUCCGCCAGGGGAGUACGGCCGCAAGGUUGAAACUUAAAGGAAUUGACGGGG